rnacentral:rRNA from 1 species
UACGUAGGGGGCGAGCGUUGUCCGGAUUUACUGGGCGUAAAGAGCGCGUAGGCGGCCAGGAGAGUCGGCUGUGAAAUCUCUGGGCCCAACCCAGAGGGGUCGGCCGAGACCUCCUGACUGGAGGGUGGUAGAGGAAGGUGGAAUUCCGGGUGUAGUGGUGAAAUGCGUAGAGAUCCGGAGGAACACCAGUGGCGAAGGCGGCCUUCUGGGCCACACCUGACGCUGAGGCGCGAAAGCGUGGGGAG